CUCCAUGGGGCGUAAACACCACACUGCCUUUGUCCGUUGAUCUGUGAUGGACACAGCCUGGUUCCAAGAUUCAGCUAUUAUGAAUUGUGCUGCUACAAACAUGAGUAUGAACGGUGAGCAGCUUUCCUUCACCAUGCCCUUCGGUCAUGCAACUUCUACUAUGUCGUCAGCAACCAUGGACUGAAUCCCCCAAAACCUACUUGCAAGCUUGAUCUUCUGCUCCACCCUUGCCCCCACUGUGUUCAGGGGCAUUAAAAAAGGAUGGCAUCAAGUGGAAACAGUGUCCUCCCAUCACUAGCAUGCUGGUGGCUACUUCAGACUUCAGAAGGAAGACAUACCUGGGAACAAGAGUUUGGAGAUCCAGCUGCCCUUCCUAGCAUGGAGGUUCAAUGGGGUUCAUUUUACAUUUCUGCCUCGACAAAUCUGGGUUUUACUGAUAUUAAUGAAGGUCACACUUUUAUUACAGUUGUCAAUGUAGUGAAAAACACUGCCACACAAAUAUUCUUACAAAGAGCUGGUAUGUCAUGUAGAAAAUGUCUCAAAUGUUAAAAAGAUGAAUUUUUAGGUUGCUGUCAUCAGGCAAAUUGACUGCAGGUCACAGUGACUUAUCUUUGGCUCGUAACUUCCAUUAACAAACCCACUUAAUAAUUAUAAUCAUCUUUCCUUUUCUCACUCUGUACUGGCUCUGUGACCUCCUUGUUAAUCUUCAAAGUUGUGCAGAAUAUCCCACCUCAGGACCUUGGUAGUCACCGUUGCCUCUGCCCCAAGUACUCUUGUCCUGCGGGGUUCACAGCUCACUUCCUCCUCGAGUUUUUGCUUGGUGAACAUCUCCACAAGGUCCUCUCCUCUCUGACCAUCCUUUUUAAAGUUGCCACCUUCCUGCCACGGCAGGCCUCAUGUCCCCUCCAAAGACUUAGCUCCUUUUAAUAUUCCAUAUAGUAGAUUUUAUUUUCCAUUAGUUGCCUGACUGCUGUCACUAGAUGUUGCACUCUAGGAUGGCAGAAAUUUGUGUCUGCUUUCUUCAUUGCUCUACCCCCAGCUCCUACAGACAAGUAGCUACUCAACAAAUACUUGUUACAUGAAUGAAUGAGUAAUUCCAUUCAUACAUAGCCUUCAUUCUGGGCAUAUUACAGUUUUUUUCUGUUAUUAUAAUACUGGA